rnacentral:tRNA from 1 species
AGAGGUGUAGCUCAGUGGUAGAGCUCAUGCUUAGCAUGCACAAAGUCCUAGGUUCAAUCCUCAGUACCUCCA